UGGGGAAUCUUGCGCAAUGGGCGAAAGCCUGACGCAGCCAUGCCGCGUGAAUGAUGAGGGUCUUAGGAUUGUAAAAUUCUUUCACCGGGGACGAUAAUGACGGUACCCGGAGAAGAAGCCCCGGCUAACUUCGUG
rnacentral:rRNA from 1 species